GAUGAAGAACGGCAGCGAAAUGCGAUACGUAAUGUGAAUUGCAGAAUUCAGUGAAUCAUCGAGUCUUUGAACGCACAUUGCGCCCCCUGGUAUUCCGGGGGGCAUGCCUGUCCGAGCGUCAUUGCUGCCCUCAAGCACGGCUUGUGUGUUGGGCCUCCGUCCUCCUCCCGGGGGACGGGCCCGAAAGGCAGCGGCGGCACCGCGUCCGGUCCUCGAGCGUAUGGGGCUUCGUCACCCGCUCUUGUAGGCCCGGCCGGCGCUUGCCGACACAUCAAUCUUUUUUCCAGGUUGACCUCGGAUCAGGUAGGGAUACCCGCUGAACUUAAGCAUAUCAAUAAGCGGAGGA
rnacentral:misc_RNA from 1 species